GAUGAACGCUGGCGGCGUGCCUAAUACAUGCAAGUCGAGCGAACAGACGAGGAGCUUGCUCCUCUGACGUUAGCGGCGGACGGGUGAGUAACACGUGGAUAACCUACCUAUAAGACUGGGAUAACUUCGGGAAACCGGAGCUAAUACCGGAUAAUAUAUUGAACCGCAUGGUUCAAUAGUGAAAGACGGUUUUGCUGUCACUUAUAGAUGGAUCCGCGCCGCAUUAGCUAGUUGGUAAGGUAACGGCUUACCAAGGCAACGAUGCGUAGCCGACCUGAGAGGGGGAUAGGCCACCCUGGAACUGAGACACGGUCCAGACUCCUACGGGAGGCAGCAGUAGGGAAUCGUCCGCAAUGGGCGAAAGCCUGACGGAGCAGCGCCGCGUGAGUGAUGAAGGUCUUCGGAUCGUAAAACUCUGUUAUGAGGGAAGAACAAAUGUGUAAGUAACUAUGCACGUCUUGACGGUACCUAAUCAGAAAGCCACGGCUAACUACGUG
rnacentral:rRNA from 1 species